GAAGCCAUUGAUCAGUUUUGGAUCUCACAAACUGACUCUUUUGAGACAGUAGUCAUGAAGUUUGGGUCGUUGGAAAGAAAAGGAUUUUCUAAAUUCCUUUAUUUCUUCUUUAACAUAUUGAGAAGCUGGCCAAAAAAUACUAGAGAGUCUUAAAGGAGAGGCGAGUGGGACAGGUUAGGAAGAAGGCAGGACAUGCCUGGCUUCUCAGCUCCUAUUGGAUUCUGGGUAGAAGAAGGUAGAAAGAAAACCAACCACAAAUGAAUAUGAAAGAAAAAAGGGAGAAGCCGGUCCCUGGGUUUCCAAAUGAAAUGCUACCAAGCCCCCAUGCAACCCACAGUCCUGAGCAGAAAAAUAAAGUACACGGGCCUCUCACUGCUGUGGCCUCUCCCGUUGCGGAGCACAGGCUCCGGACGCGCAGGCUCAGAGGUCAUGGCUCACGGACCUAGCCGCUCCGCGGCAUGUGGGAUCUUCCCGGACCGGGGCAUGAACCCGUGUCCCCUGCAUCGGCAGGCAGACUCUCAACCACUGCGCCACCAGGGAAACCCCAUGGAGAAACAGAAUCGUAGAAGUUAAAUGACCUGCCUGGGAUCUAGCAGCUCGUUAGCAGCACAGCCAGAAUUAGAAUUUCUAGUUUGGGGUUCAUUUCACUAUGCCACUUGUCUGGUAGAACAAUAUCUAAUAGAUGUUUGGAGUUACCAACAAUCUGUAGGUUUAGAAUCUCAAAAAUAAAAAUAUUAAAUUCUGGAGAAAGAGAUAUAAGCAGAAGUUGUCUGUAUAGCUCUUGAGAUUUUCCUUUAAAGGGAAAGAUUAUGCCUUUAAAAAAUAUAUUUUCCCUUUUCACUGUUGGAAUACAGAUAUAGUAGCUAGAGCUAGAGCAGCCAUGUUAGAUGCAUGAAAUGAAAAUAUAUUUGAGAAUGGCAGAGCAAAAAGAAAGAUGUACCCAAGGUCCCCAAAUUAUCAAUCUGUACAUAUCAGUCCUGGAAUGCCGAGGAAAUCUUUUACAUAAGAAGGAGAUAAAUGUCUGGCCAAUUUAGGGUUCCUUUAUAUAGCAGCUUAAACUCAUAACAAGUACAAGAUCUGGUACUGGUUAAGUGGCAUGUUGUCCUAAAAGAAUCCUUGAAUUAUAUCAUUGAAUCCUUGAAUUAUAUCAGCACUGGGUGAUGGGUGGCAAUGAUAUAGAUAUUAAUGGUUAGAAAUCUGAUGAUCCUUCAUUACACCAUUGCAAACUAUAUGUUAAAAUUGUUAUCUGUGUUAUGUUGGAAGUUAGACCAGGUGUCAACAUACCUUGUAGCUCUAGAGCUAUCUAUAUGAGUUGUACUGUCCCUAGGGGACAUUUUGGAAAUUUGUGGAGCUGUUUUGGUUGUUACAGUAACUAGAGGAGGGAAUUGCAUGGUCAGGGCCAGGGAUGAUAAAUGUACCAUAAAGUAUAGGAAAGUCCCACACAACAAGAAUUGAUCCACAUCCCAUGACUUCCAAACAUUUUGCUAGACAUUUCUGUAGGUGAAAAACUUGCUUAUAAUUAUCCAAGCCUAGAACCUAAUUCUAUUUCACAUCCAACACAAAGUUUUUUAGGUUUAUUUUGCACUGUUUUAACACACUUUCUUUCAGAAAUGCAAAAGCUAUAUAAAUUGAGGGAAGCUUUUAUGUUGUUUUAUUCCAAAUUUUACUAAGAGUUGUAUGUAUACCAUUUUAGAACAUCACCCAAAAUAACGCUGCCUCAACAUAAACCAGGAUCCUGGUAUGAAGCUGUAUUUGUGGCUAUUAUAUUCACAGCAAUUCUAUGCGUAGGUGCAAGCAUCUCACUACUUCAUUAUGUCUUCGGUAUGGUUGUACCUGAACAAAUACUAUGAAUCAUUUCAGAAAUUAUGUGCAAAAAUUUCAGAUUAUGCCCUCAAAAGAAAGAAGCAUGCAUUCCUCUACCCUUUUCUCUUUUCCUGCUAGUUGAAGGCAGAGAUGAUGGCUGGAGCUGGAGCAGACACAUUAGGUCAGGGGAUGGAAGCCACAGUUGAAGAUGGGAGAGCAAUUAAACGGAGGGAACCUGUGUCCCUGACAUUGUGCAGCUGCCAUAUACCAAUGGUCCCAUCAUAUAAACCCUAUGUGAAAGAGUAAACUUUUAUCUAGUUUGAGCCUCUGUGUUUCAGAAUUUCUUUUUUUAUGAUAGCUUAGUUAGAUUCCUAUCUAAUAUAGAUGUGAAGAGCAAAAUAUAAAUAAAAUCUAGCAUAAGUCUCAGAACUUCUUGUUAAAUAUCCAAUCCUAAAAAAACAUUUUCAAUGAUAAAUGAAAAAAGAAGCAGCAUGAAUACAAAACCAACAAUUUGAAAAUGACAUUUUAUGUAUUUUAAAAAAAUCUUUCACUGUAACCAAGACUGAACUGGCAUAAAACUGGCAUAAAAAACUUGAGGAUAGAAUGAA